CUCCUACGGGAGGCAGCAGUGGGGAAUUUUGGACAAUGGGCGCAAGCCUGAUGCAGCAACGCCGCGUGGAGGAUGACACAUUUCGGUGCGUAAACUCCUUUUAUAUGAGAAGAUAAUGACGGUAUUAUAUGAAUAAGCACCGGCUAACUCCGUGCCAGCAGCCGCGGUAAUACGGGGGGUGCAAGCGUUACUCGGAAUCACUGGGCGUAAAGAGCAUGUAGGCGGAUUAAUAAGUUUGAAGUGAAAUCCUAUAGCUUAACUAUAGAACUGCUUUGAAAACUGUUAAUCUAGAAUGUGGGAGAGGUAGAUGGAAUUUCUGGUGUAGGGGUAAAAUCCGUAGAGAUCAGAAGGAAUACCGAUUGCGAAGGCGAUCUACUGGAACAUUAUUGACGCUGAGAUGCG
rnacentral:rRNA from 1 species